CCUACGGGUGGCAGCAGUGAGGAAUAUUGGUCAAUGGACGCAAGUCUGAACCAGCCAUGCCGCGUGCAGGAAGACGGCUCUAUGAGUUGUAAACUGCUUUUGUACGAGGGUAAACGCAAAUACGCGUAUCUGUCUGAAAGUACUGUACGAAUAAGGAUCGGCUAACUCCGUGCCAGCAGCCGCGGUAAUACGGAGGAUUCAAGCGUUAUCCGGAUUUAUUGGGUUUAAAGGGUGCGUAGGCGGUCGGAUAAGUUAGAGGUGAAAUCCCGAGGCUCAACUUCGGAAUUGCCUCUGAUACUGUUCGUCUAGAGAGUAGUUGCGGUAGGCGGAAUGUAUGGUGUAGCGGUGAAAUGCUUAGAGAUCAUACAGAACACCGAUUGCGAAGGCAGCUUACCAAGCUACUUCUGACGUUGAGGCACGAAAGCGUGGGGAGCAAACAGGAUUAGAUACCCGUGUAGUC
rnacentral:rRNA from 1 species